rnacentral:rRNA from 1 species
AUGAUAGUCCUCAUCCCCAAAGGAAAUGACCCGCAAUCCCUCAAGGACUAUAGACCGAUAAGCCUCUGUAACGUCAUCUACAAAGUGAUCUCAAAGUGUCUUGUGAAUCGACUUCGCCCUAUGCUGGAUGAAAUCAUCUCAGAAACUCAAAGUGCGUUUAUCCCUGGAAGAUUAAUCAUGGACAAUGCCAUCAUAGCAUUUGAGUGCUUUCACAAGAUACAACGCUGCAAGAAUGCAAGGGACAACUAUUGUGCGUACAAACUUGACCUUAUACGAUAG